GCAGAUGACUAAGUGAUAUAAAUUUACUUUAUGGAACCAAAGCUAGUUCUUUUAUGGAAUGCCGUACGUCACAAAUUACGUCAUCAUGCGACUUAGAAAGCAGAAAGAAAGAAAGAGCAGAAUGUUUUCAACUCCAUAUUUUCUGCAUAAUUUGCUGGUUAUAAGCAGAUCUCUGCACGGCACUCCCUUAUACCACACUGAUAGCUUCUCAAAGAUUAUAAAUAUGAUACAUGUAAGCAGGCACAGUUACUUGUCAUCACAAGGAUCAGAUUUCAAGUACCAGAGUAGUCCUAACUCCUAAAUUUUCCCAAUUUGUCAAAAGUACAUCUAGUGACACAAGAGAAGAAUGUGGAGUAAAUGCCAAUAAAGGCUAGACUGCAGGGGUAUACCUGACUUCUCGGCAAUUUCUGGUUAUCACCAUCCGAAUGACCGAUUCAGAGGAGAAGAAUAACUUCAAGGUGACUCUUAUGCAUUGAGAUCUUUCGCUGAUGGACUCAAAUUGUUCAGGAAAAAAUCCA